AAAAGUCGACUGUCAGAUUCAGUUUUCCAGCCAACUUGUUGGUAGGAGAAUGCACUUUUGGCAGUUGAGCGUCACGAUCGAUUGCUCCGCAGACAAAGCUCACUGUGUUGAGGACCUUGCCUUCGGGCUAGGAAACCCACGCGGUGUUGCUGCCCAUGUCGGAGUAAUCGGGGACAUCCGUGCACGCCUGCUUUGUCCAGGGGAAGCUUGACGGUAUGACAGUUGAGUUCUAAUUGCAGAGCUUAGCGACCACCGUUCGAGUAGUACUUUGGCGAUUGCGGCACGCGAGAGUCUGUGGCGUCCUAGUCAGUCACCCGUCUGACCCGUCUUGAAACACGGACCAAGGAGUCUAACAUGUGCGCAAGUCACUGAGUGGUAAACUCAAAGGCGAAAUGAAAGUAAAGGCUGGUUCCGCCAGCUAAGGUGAGAUCCUGGGCUAGUCCUGGGCGCAUCACCGUCCCGUCCUAAGGGUAAUGUCCCUGGGGUGGAGAAAGAGCGCACAUGUUGGGACCCGAAAGAUGGUGAACUAUGCUUGAGCAGGAUGAAGCCAGAGGAAACUCU
rnacentral:rRNA from 1 species